rnacentral:rRNA from 1 species
UACGAAGGGGGCUAGCGUUGCUCGGAAUCACUGGGCGUAAAGCGCACGUAGGCGGACUUCUAAGUCGGUGGUGAAAUCCUGGAGCUCAACUCCAGAACUGCCUCCGAUACUGGGAGUCUUCGAGUCCGGGAGAGGUGAGUGGAACUGCGAGUGUAGAGGUGAAAUUCGUAGAUAUUCGCAAGAACACCAGUGGCGAAGGCGGCUCACUGGCCCGGUACUGACGCUGAGGUGCGAAAGCGUGGGGAGCAAACAGG